GACGAACGCUGGCGGCGUGCUUAACACAUGCAAAUCGAACGGAAAGGCCCCUUUGGGGGUACUCGAGUGGCGAACGGGUGAGUAACACGUGAGUAACCUGCCCUUGACUUCGGGAUAACUUCAGGAAACUGGGGCUAAUACCGGAUAGGAAUCCUUGCUGCAUGGUGGGGGUUGGAAAGCUUCGGCGGUUUUGGAUGGACUCGCGGCUUAUCAGCUUGUUGGUGGGGUAGUGGCUUACCAAGGCUUUGACGGGUAGCCGGCCUGAGGGGGCGACCGGCCACAUUGGGACUGAGAUACGGCCCAGGCUCCUACGGGAGGCAGCAGUGGGGAAGAUUGAACAAGGGGCGGAAGCCUGAUGCAGCAACGCCGCGUGCGGGAUGACGGCCUUCGGGUUGUAAACCGCUUUCAGCAGGGGCGAAGCUUGUGGUGACGGUACCUGCAGAAGAAGCACCGGCUAACUACGUG
rnacentral:rRNA from 1 species